CUACGGGUUGCUGCAGUGAGGAAUAUUGCACAAUGGAGGAAACUCUGAUGCAGCAACGCCGCGUGGAGGAUGACGCAUUUCGGUGUGUAAACUCCUUUUAUAUGUCAAGAAAAUGACGGUAGCAUAUGAAUAAGCGCCGGCUAACUCCGUGCCUGCAGCCGCGGUAAUACGGAGGGCGCAAGCGUUACUCGGAAUCACUGGGCGUAAAGGACGCGUAGGCGGGUUGAAAAGUCAGGUGUGAAAGCCUACAGCUUAACUGUAGAACUGCACUUGAAACUCUCAAUCUAGAGUAUGGGAGGGGCAGAUGGAAUUAGUGGUGUAGGGGUAAAAUCCGUAGAUAUCACUAGGAAUACCUAAAGCGAAGGCGAUCUGCUGGAACAUUACUGACGCUAAGGCGUGAAAGCGUGGGGAGCAAACAGGAUUAGAUACCCGGGUAGUC
rnacentral:rRNA from 1 species